AUACUGUAUCGUUACAUACUGUUCUUCCUUCAGUCCUGAAGUCAGGAAGUAAGAUGGGCCUUGGGCACAGGGCCAUACUUCUAGCUCCUAAGGAUGGGUAACAGCUGGACUAAGAGUUGAUGAGCAGCCUAACAACACAGCAUAACCCUGACUCCGUAAGGAAGGGGACUGAGGGCAUUCAUUGCUCAAUGAUGGAAGGUUUUCUGAACAUGCACAAAGCCCUGGUUCUGUCCCCAGCCUUGCAAUACUCAACACAUCACCAUCGUCAUCGCCAUUGUCAUCAUCAUCCUGAGGCAACAGGUGAUUGGAAUGGUCCAUAAACAGAGUUCACUCUCUGAGAAACUUGAACUUUCUAAGAGUGACCCCUAUGACUUAGAGCUCAUUAGCACCCUUUAGGGCAGCCAAUUAUUUAAACCAAUGGCAGUGGAGAUGGGACAAAUUCUGAUGAUUGGGAAAAUCGAAGCCUUUGAGUCUCAAAAGUGGUCGAUGCCAGAGUGGUGUGAGUAUUUAUGAAGUACAUGGUAACGCUUCAAUACAUUUUACAAGGGCUAAUGGCCACAUGAGGCAAAGUAGACUUUCCAUCUUGUAUCAUGUCUGUGUUUGGGACCUUCACUGAAAAUGAUGUCAUAAAAGGGGAACAGGGAGUUAGAUGAUCUAGAAAGGAGACAAAACUCAAAAUUUUUUUAUUUGUUUUUUUUUUUUUUUUUUUUUGAGACAGGGUUUCUCCAAUGUGACACAAGCUUUGGAAUACUAAAAAGAAACACACCACAGAGUCAACUAAUGGCCUAUAUUCAGUAAGUAUUUCAUAAAUGUCUAUUAAAGAAGUGAAGGGACAAAUGGAAGCCCUCAGCCAUCAGCUGCCAAGGUCACAGGCUGUCCAUGCACAAAGUCAGUCAGCACGGUCCCUGUAUGCUCUCAAGAUCAUACCAUAAACAUUGUAUAUGGCAUACAAUAUACUGUGUUUUACCAACAGAGAAAGGAAGGAAAUAGGAGACCCAAGACUUAUUCUAAGCAGGAGUUGGCAUAGCACACAGGCUGCCUGGUUCAUGAUUUUCUCAUGUUCCUACUGAAGAUUAUGGAUUAUUUUAAAAAGAGAACAGGU
rnacentral:lncRNA from 1 species